rnacentral:rRNA from 1 species
AUUGAACGCUGGCGGCAUGCCUUACACAUGCAAGUCGAACGGCAGCACGGGAGCAAUCCUGGUGGCGAGUGGCGAACGGGUGAGUAAUAUAUCGGAACGUGCCCAGUAGUGGGGGAUAGCCCGGCGAAAGCCGGAUUAAUACCGCAUGAGACCUGAGGGUGAAAGCGGGGGAUCGCAAGACCUCGCGCUAUUGGAGCGGCCGACAUCAGAUUAGCUAGUUGGUGGGGUAAAGGCCUACCAAGGCAACGAUCUGUAGUUGGUCUGAGAGGACGACCAGCCACACUGGGACUGGGACACGGCCCAGACUCCUACGGGAGGCAGCAGUGGGGAAUUUUGGACAAUGGGCGCAAGCCUGAUCCAGCAAUGCCGCGUGCAGGAAGAAGGCCUUCGGGUUGUAAACUGCUUUUGUCAGGGAAGAAAUCCCUUGGGAUAAUACCUCGGGGGGAUGACGGUACCUGAAGAAUAAGCACCGGCUAACUACGUGCCAGCCGCCGCAGUAACAC